rnacentral:rRNA from 1 species
GAUGAACGCUGGCGGCGUGCCUAAUACAUGCAAGUCGAGCGAACAGAUGAGGAGCUUGCUCCUCUGACGUUAGCGGCGGACGGGUGAGUAACACGUGGAUAACCUACCUAUAAGACUGGGAUAACUUCGGGAAACCGGAGCUAAUACCGGAUAAUAUAUUGAACCGCAUGGUUCAAUAGUGAAAGACGGUUUUGCUGUCACUUAUAGAUGGAUCCGCGCCGCAUUAGCUAGUUGGUAAGGUAACGGCUUACCAAGGCAACGAUGCGUAGCCGACCUGAGAGGGUGAUCGGCCACACUGGAACUGAGACACGGUCCAGACUCCUACGGGAGGCAGCAGUAGAGAAUCUUCCGCAAUGGGCGAAAGCCUGACGGAGCAACGCCGCGUGAGUGAUGAAGGUCUUCGGAUCGUAAAACUCUGUUAUUAGGGAAGAACAAAUGUGUAAGUAACUAUGCACGUCUUGACGGUACCUAAUCAGAAAGCCACGGCUAACUACGUG